UCUUAAUUGCCCACCAGGUGGGUGGCAAAUGAACUCAAUAGAGAAAGGAUCAGAGAGCAAGACUGAGUAGUUUCCUCAGAGCAUUUUGACACAUUAUCUCUUCUUGAUAGAUUCUCUGGAACAUCUCUGAUCUUCUCUUAUCAAUUAAUUAAUUGGUUAUCAUCCACACUUCAUAUUUGACAGAAGAAGACCUAAGUAAGUAGGAAACAGGAUCUGGAAAACAAGAGAAGUCAUACAGAGUUGGUGUGCCAUUGUUUAAGAGCAUAGCACUAUUAACUUCUGACAGUACAGAAAUCACAAAGGAUUUAAGCCAAAACAUGACCAACCAAAUGCCCUGAACUAAGGACAACUUUUACUGACAAGAGUAGUGGAUAAUCAAUUGAGAGUCAUCAGCAAGAGAAUACUGCUAUACUGAAGCUGACAUUUCUAGGGGAGAUUCAUCUGUUUUUCUCUUAGAUUUUGUAUCCUGAUAUCUGCACUGUGAGUGUGACCUAUUGUUUACAUUAAACUUGUUUACAUGUUGCUUACUUAGGUUCCAGAACAAAUGUGGUCAUUGUAAGUGGUUGCAUCAGCCUUUUGCUGAUACUUCAGUACCAGCUCUGCAUAAGGAGCAAAGUUCCAUGACAAAAAUAAACUAUAUGAAGAAGGCUUAAAUGCAGGGGAAAAAAACAAAACAGGAUUCUUCAGUGUAAGGAUCUUGUUUAUCCCCAGAAAACAAUGUUUGGCUGAGCACAAUAACAUCUGGCCAGACCUGAGGGGGAUUUUUAUGAGUUCCAUGUGGGAUACUGAAGUCUUGGCCUAACUGGCCUCAAAUACCCCAGAAAGAUGCACUUUCUAUGUACAUAUCUACUCAACCCGCUCUAUUUUUCGACCCUGUUGCUGUAAGUAUUGAUUUUUCUUGUUUCAGUAUGGUCUAAUGCUAGUGUAAAUCAAGUCAGAUUGUAGCUCACUUGCUACAGUUUGGGGUGUAUCAGGAAAGCAAAAUUCACAUCCUCCCUUGCCUUUUUUUUUUCCAGUGAAGUUUUAUUUUUGUAACUUAGCAUAGAAAUCUGCACCCUACCCAAUGCAAUUUCAUCCCCCAUAAAAUCCUCUUGUCUGUGAAACUUAAUGAAAUGGCUUUUUAUAACCUUGGUAUCAUGCAAAUCCUGGUUAGUCAUCCCUUUCCAAAU
rnacentral:lncRNA from 1 species